AUUGAACGCUGGCGGAAUGCUUUACACAUGCAAGUCGAACGGUAGAGGGGGCAACCCCUCGAGAGUGGCGAACGGGUGAGUAAUAUAUCGGAACGUGCCCAGUCGUGGGGGAUAACGUAGCGAAAGUUACGCUAAUACCGCGUACGAUCUAAGGAUGAAAGCGGGGGACCGUAAGGCCUCGCGCGAUUGGAGCGGCCGAUAUCAGAUUAGGUAGUUGGUGAGGUAAAGGCUCACCAAGCCAACGAUCUGUAGCUGGUCUGAGAGGACGACCAGCCCCACUGGAACGGAGAAAGGGUCCAGACUCCUACGGGAGGCAGCAGUGGGGAAUUUUGGACAAUGGACGCAAGUCUGAUCCAGCCAUUCCGCGUGCAGGAUGAAGGCCCUCGGGUUGUAAACUGCUUUUGUACGGAACGAAAAGGUCUCUCCUAAUACGAGGGGCUCAUGACGGUACCGUAAGAAUAAGCACCGGCUAACUACGUGCCAGCCGCCGCGGUAA
rnacentral:rRNA from 1 species